CCUACGUGAGGCUGCAGUGAGGAAUAUUGGUCAAUGGCCGGAAGCCUGAACCAGCCAUGCCGCGUGAAGGUCAGUGCCCUAUGGGUUGUAAACUUCUUUUGUGCGGGAGCAGUAAUGGUCACUUGUUGCCAGACGAGAGUACGGUACGAAUAAGCCUCCGCUAACUCCGUUCCGGCAGCCGCGGUAAUACUGGGGAUGCAAGCGUUGUCCGGGUUUAUUGGGUUGAAAGAGUGGGUAGGCUGGGAGGUAAGUCGGCGGUGAAAUGCCCGCGCUCAACGGGCAGAAGUGCCAUUGAUACUGCCGUGCUGGAAUGCGGAUGACGUGGGAGGAAUGUGUGGUGUAGCGGUGAAAUGCAUAGAUAUUA
rnacentral:rRNA from 1 species